UACGAAGGGGGCUAGCGUUGCUCGGAAUCACUGGGCGUAAAGGGUGCGUAGGCGGGUUUUUAAGUCAGGGGUGAAAUCCUGGAGCUCAACUCCAGAACUGCCUUUGAUACUGAAGAUCUUGAGUCCGGGAGAGGUGAGUGGAACUGCGAGUGUAGAGGUGAAAUUCGUAGAUAUUCGCAAGAACACCAGUGGCGAAGGCGGCUCACUGGCCCGGGACUGACGCUGAGGCACGAAAGCGUGGGGAGCAAACAGG
rnacentral:rRNA from 1 species